UACGUAGGUGGCAAGCGUUGUCCGGAUUUAUUGGGUUAAAGGGUGCGUAGGCGGUUCCUUAAGUCAGUGGUGAAAUACUUCAGCUCAACUGGAGAGGUGCCAUUGAUACUGGGGAACUUGAGUACUGAUGAGGUAGCGGAAUGGACGGUGUAGCGGAUGAAAUGCUUAGAUAUCGUCCAGAACACCGAUAGCGAAGGCAGCUUACUAAAGAGUAACUGACGCUGAGGCACGAAAGUGUGGGGAUCAAACAGG
rnacentral:rRNA from 1 species